rnacentral:rRNA from 1 species
UGACGACCGGCGCACGGGUGCGUAACGCGUAUAGAACCUACCUUAUAGUAAGGGAUAGCCCAGAGAAAUUUGGAUUAAUACCUUAUGGUAUCAUAAAUUGGCAUCAAUUACUGAUUAAAGAUUUAUCGCUAUAAGAUGGCUAUGCGUUCUAUUAGCUAGUUGGUAUGGUAACGGCAUACCAAGGCUACGAUAGAUAGGGGUCCUGAGAGGGAGAUCCCCCACACUGGUACUGAGACACGGACCAGACUCCUACGGGAGGCAGCAGUGAGGAAUAUUGGACAAUGGAGGCAACUCUGAUCCAGCCAUGCCGCGUGUAGGAAGACUGCCCUAUGGGUUGUAAACUACUUUUAUAGAGGAAGAAACCCCGAUAUGUAUAUCGGUCUGACGGUACUCUACGAAUAAGGAUCGGCUAACUCCGUGCCAGCAGCCGCGGUAAUACGGAGGAUCCAAGCGUUAUCCGGAAUCAUUGGGUUUAAAGGGUCCGUAGGCGGGUUUGUAAGUCAGUGGUGAAAGUUUUCGGCUCAACCGGAAAAUUGCCAUUGAUACUGCAAGUCUUGAAUCAUUAUGAAGUGGUUAGAAUAAGUAGUGUAGCGGUGAAAUGCAUAGAUAUUACUUAGAAUACCGAUUGCGAAGGCAGAUCACUAAUAAUGUAUUGACGCUAAGGGACGAAAGCGUGGGUAGCGAACAGGAUUAGAUACCCUGGUAGUCCACGCCGUAAACGAUGGUUACUAGCUGUUCGGUUUUCGGACUGAGUGGCUAAGCGAAAGUGAUAAGUAACCCACCUGGGGAGUACGUUCGCAAGAAUGAAACUCAAAGGAAUUGACGGGGGCCCGCACAAGCGGUGGAGCAUGUGGUUUAAUUCGAUGAUACGCGAGGAACCUUACCAGG